AUAUGCUUUGACAUCAUUAUAACUAUCGUGGUAGUUUUAUUUCCCACCACACUAAGAGCAAUGGCUUUUUCUAUCAAUCUUCUACUUGGUCGUUUGCUAACAGUGGGUGGCAAUUUGAUGGUACCAUUGUUGGUAGAGCUUGGCUGCGCACCGCCUUUCUUGACUUGGGGUAGUCUCAGUUUAGUUGCGCUGCUGUUGUCCUGUCUAAUCCCUAACACCGAAAAACUGGAUAUGAAGUAACUGAACUAUGAAAUUGAUGCAAAUAAAUGACUGAUUAUAUUUUAAGGCAAAUUUGACUUGCAAAAUGUGAAUAAUUAACUGUGUUGCUAAAGUUUCCUUUUUUAUGUGCAAUAUAUUUAAUGCAAUUGUUUUUUUAAUAAAAUAUACGUUAAAAAUU